rnacentral:rRNA from 1 species
AACGCGAAGAACCUUACCAAGGUUUGACAUGCAGGGAAAAGCCGUAGAGAUACGGUGUCCGUAAGGGUCCUGCACAGGUGGUGCAUGGCUGUCGUCAGCUCGUGUCGUGAGAUGUUGGGUUAAGUCCCGCAACGAGCGCAACCCUCGUCCUAUGUUGCCAGCGGGUAAUGCCGGGGACUCAUAGGAGACUGCCGGGGUCAACUCGGAGGAAGGUGGGGAUGACGUCAAGUCCUCAUGCCCCUUAUAUCUUGGGCUGCAAACAUGCUACAAUGGCCGGUACAGAGGGCUGCGAGACCGCAAGGUGGAGCGAAUCUCAAAAAGCCGGUCUCAGUUCGGAUUGGGGUCUGCAACUCGACCCCAUGAAGUCGGAGUCGCUAGUAAUCGCGAAUCAGCAACGUCGCGGUGAAUACGUUCCCGGGCCUUGUA